AAGACCUUGCACUUUUGGAGCGGCCGAUGUCUGAUUAGCUAGUUGGUGGGGUAAUGGCCUACCAAAGCUUCGAUCAGUAGCUGGUCUGAGAGGACGGCCAGCCACACUGGGACUGAGACACGGCCCAGACUCCUACGGGAGGCAGCAGUGGGGAACUUUGGACAAUGGGCGCAAGCCUGAUCCAGCCAUGCCGCGUGAGUGAAGAAGGCCUUCGGGUUGUAAAGCUCUUUCAGCCGGGAAGAAAAGGUUGCGACUAAUAAUCGCAAUUCAUGACGGUACCGAAAGAAGAAGCACCGGCUAACUACGUGCCAGCAGCCGCGGUAAUACGUAGGGUGCGAGCGUUAAUCGGAAUUACUGGGCGUAAAGGGUGCGCAGGCGGUUUUGUAAGUCAGAUGUGAAAUCCCCGGGCUUAACCUGGGAACU
rnacentral:rRNA from 1 species